rnacentral:rRNA from 1 species
UACGGGGGGGGGCAAGCGUUGUUCGGAAUUACUGGGCGUAAAGAGCUCGUAGGUGGUUUGUCGCGUUGUUCGUGAAAACCGGGGGCUUAACCCUCGGCGUGCGGGCGAUACGGGCAGACUUGAGUACUGCAGGGGAGACUGGAAUUCCUGGUGUAGCGGUGGAAUGCGCAGAUAUCGGGGAGGAACACCAGUGGCGAAGGCGGCCACCUGGCCGAAUACUGACGCGUG